rnacentral:rRNA from 1 species
CCUGGCUCAGGAUGAACGCUAGCGACAGGCUUAACACAUGCAAGUCGAGGGGCAGCACAGGUAGCAAUACCGGGUGGCGACCGGCGCACGGGUGAGUAACGCGUAUGCAACUUACCUAUCAGAGGGGGAUAACCCGGCGAAAGUCGGACUAAUACCGCAUGAAGCAGGGGCCCCGCAUGGGGAUAUUUGCUAAAGAUUCAUCGCUGAUAGAUAGGCAUGCGUUCCAUUAGGCAGUUGGCGGGGUAACGGCCCACCAAACCGACGAUGGAUAGGGGUUCUGAGAGGAAGGUCCCCCACAUUGGUACUGAGACACGGACCAAACUCCUACGGGAGGCAGCAGUGAGGAAUAUUGGUCAAUGGGCGUAAGCCUGAACCAGCCAAGUCGCGUGAGGGAUGAAGGUUCUAUGGAUCGUAAACCUCUUUUAUAAGGGAAUAAAGUGCGGGACGUGUCCCGUUUUGUAUGUACCUUAUGAAUAAGGAUCGGCUAACUCCGUGCCAGCAGCCGCGGUAAUACGGAGGAUCCGAGCGUUAUCCGGAUUUAUUGGGUUUAAAGGGUGCGUAGGCGGCCUUUUAAGUCAGCGGUGAAAGUCUGUGGCUCAACCAUAGAAUUGCCGCUGAAACUGGGGGGCUUGAGUAUGUUUGAGGCAGGCGGAAUGCGUGGUGUAGCGGUGAAAUGCUUAGAUAUCACGCAGAACCCCGAUUGCGAAGGCAGCCUGCCAAGCCAUGACUGACGCUGAUGCACGAAAGCGUGGGGAUCAAACAGGAUUAGAUACCCUGGUAGUCCACGCAGUAAACGAUGAUCACUAGCUGUUUGCGAUACAGUGUAAGCGGCACAGCGAAAGCGUUAAGUGAUCCACCUGGGGAGUACGCCGGCAACGGUGAAACUCAAAGGAAUUGACGGGGGCCCGCACAAGCGGAGGAACAUGUGGUUUAAUUCGAUGAUACGCGAGGAACCUUACCCGGGUUUGAACGCAUUUCGACCGCUCUGGAAACAGAGCCUCUAGCAAUAGCGAUUUGCGAGGUGCUGCAUGGUUGUCGUCAGCUCGUGCCGUGAGGUGUCGGCUUAAGUGCCAUAACGAGCGCAACCCUUGCCACUAGUUACUAACAGGUAAAGCUGAGGACUCUGGUGGGACUGCCAGCGUAAGCUGCGAGGAAGGCGGGGAUGACGUCAAAUCAGCACGGCCCUUACAUCCGGGGCGACACACGUGUUACAAUGGCGUGGACAAAGGGAUGCCACCUGGCGACAGGGAGCGAAUCCCCAAACCACGUCUCAGUUCGGAUCGGAGUCUGCAACCCGACUCCGUGAAGCUGGAUUCGCUAGUAAUCGCGCAUCAGCCAUGGCGCGGUGAAUACGUUCCCGGGCCUUGUACACACCGCC